rnacentral:rRNA from 1 species
UACGUAGGUGGCAAGCGUUGUCCGGAAUUAUUGGGCGUAAAGCGCGCGCAGGUGGUUCCUUAAGUCUGAUGUGAAAGCCCACGGCUCAACCGUGGAGGGUCAUUGGAAACUGGGGAACUUGAGUGCAGAAGAGGAAAGUGGAAUUCCAAGUGUAGCGGUGAAAUGCGUAGAGAUUUGGAGGAACACCAGUGGCGAAGGCGACUUUCUGGUCUGUAACUGACACUGAGGCGCGAAAGCCAGGGGAGCAAACGGG